GGCUCGAGGAGGUUGGCAACGACACCCUCAAGCCGGAAAGUUCGUCAAACUCGGUCAUUUAGAGGAAGUAAAAGUCGUAACAAGGUCUCCGUAGGUGAACCUGCGGAGGGAUCAUU
rnacentral:rRNA from 1 species